ACAAUUUCGGGCCUGAUAUCCAGCAUUAAAAGCCUACAUAAACACCAGUCCAAGGCUCCGGAAGUCGCCCACAGCUUAGUUUGGUUUGCCACAGACAGGCCGAAAGGCCUAAAGGUAGGCCAGUAAAAUCGAUUGUUUGUGACAUUGUCAAAAUUCCCGUUCUUAAAAAUGCCCGGUUGUGGAAAAAACGUCCAAAACCAGUUCGAAGCAUUGACAAAACUCGCCAAUUCAUACCAAAAAAUCACACUCGAACAGAUCAACAAGUGGCUGACUGAUGCCAAACUGAUGAGUGAAAAAAUCAAGCCGGAAGACACCAAAUCGUGCUUCGAUAAGUUCAAGUCUGAAACCAUCGAUUUUGCAACUUUUCAUAAAUUUUUGCACGAAUUAUCGGAACGCAAAGGAAUUCCGAUAAGUGAAUUAGAGGAGAAGCUUGCGCCAUGUAUGUGAGCGAUGACACUGCAUGCUAUAAUUUAAUUGUGGACGUUUUAAUAAGGAUGUGUGCCUUUAACAGAAUAACGGAUGCACUGAAAAGUGCUUGCAAGACUAGUGAGAGCACUUGAAGUAUUUAAUGUUAAAAAUAAUCUAAUCAGCUUGAUUACACGAACAUUGUUUGUGAUCUUAAGCCAAAUGAAUUGUUACUGAAAACACAACUGGCAAUAUUUACCUGAAAUGCACAAAAUAUUUUUUUUUGUCUUUAAUGCGAGCUUCUUCACUGUACAGCAAAACCCAUUCUUUAUUGCAGAUUGUAGUUCUGAUAGAACAGUUUAGUUUUGGUGGAGUACAAUUGCGGGCAACUGUUUAUAUAAAGACACAGAAAUUAGUGAGCAGAUUACAGUUAGUGGCCCAUCAUUCUGGCCUUUGUGUCGAGCUAAUUGGCCACAAGUACAAAUACGGUCGAAAUGAAAUGUAAGAUUCCCAUUUGAAUCCAUGUUAAAAUCGGCUUGAAACACAAGCUUGAAGCUCUCUUCAAUAAAAUAUUCCUGAAAUGAGGUUUAUGGGUAAGAGCGUACGUGAGGUCGCGCCUCCAGUGGUAUCAUGGAGUACUUGGCAAUAAUGGACGUCACGCUUCUGAAAUAUCGCUACUACAUUUCUACGAAGGGUAUAGAAAGCCCGGAUCAAAUGAACUAAUAAUUUAAUGAUUUUUGCCUCCUUCUGUGUGGCAUAUGCGUUGAAUUUACAAGCGGCGCUGUUCUUUUUGAUUGUACGAAUAUUAAUUUUAGAUAGAGCCGUCAAAGAAUAAAUGGAACGACUCCUUUGAAAGAAGAAUUUAAUAAGCUUUUCGAUCUUGCCCCAUGCA